rnacentral:rRNA from 1 species
UAUGAGAGUUUGAUCCUGGCUCAGGACGAACGCUGGCGGCGUGCCUAAUACAUGCAAGUCGAACGCUUCUUUUUCCACCGGAGCUUGCUCCACCGGAAAAAGAGGAGUGGCGAACGGGUGAGUAACACGUGGGUAACCUGCCCAUCAGAAGGGGAUAACACUUGGAAACAGGUGCUAAUACCGUAUAACAAUCAAAACCGCAUGGUUUUGAUUUGAAAGGCGCUUUCGGGUGUCGCUGAUGGAUGGACCCGCGGUGCAUUAGCUAGUUGGUGAGGUAACGGCUCACCAAGGCCACGAUGCAUAGCCGACCUGAGAGGGUGAUCGGCCACAUUGGGACUGAGACACGGCCCAAACUCGUACGGGAGGCAGCAGUAGGGAAUCUUCGGCAAUGGACGAAAGUCUGACCGAGCAACGCCGCGUGAGUGAAGAAGGUUUUCGGAUCGUAAAACUCUGUUGUUAGAGAAGAACAAGGAUGAGAGUAACUGUUCAUCCCUUGACGGUAUCUAACCAGAAAGCCACGGCUAACUACGUGCCAGCAGCCGCGGUAAUACGUAGGUGGCAAGCGUUGUCCGGAUUUAUUGGGCGUAAAGCGAGCGCAGGCGGUUUCUUAAGUCUGAUGUGAAAGCCCCCGGCUCAACCGGGGAGGGUCAUUGGAAACUGGGAGACUUGAGUGCAGAAGAGGAGAGUGGAAUUCCAUGUGUAGCGGUGAAAUGCGUAGAUAUAUGGAGGAACACCAGUGGCGAAGGCGGCUCUCUGGUCUGUAACUGACGCUGAGGCUCGAAAGCGUGGGGAGCAAACAGGAUUAGAUACCCUGGUAGUCCACGCCGUAAACGAUGAGUGCUAAGUGUUGGAGGGUUUCCGCCCUUCAGUGCUGCAGCUAACGCAUUAAGCACUCCGCCUGGGGAGUACGACCGCAAGGUUGAAACUCAAAGGAAUUGACGGGGGCCCGCACAAGCGGUGGAGCAUGUGGUUUAAUUCGAAGCAACGCGAAGAACCUUACCUUUCGGCUGUUAGGAAAUGAGAAAAUAAAAGAGGACGAAAGAGCUGAAGUCGAUUGUUAUGAGUAGACUUCAGCUCUUUUUUAAAAUUGCUGAGAUGUUGGGUUAAGUCCCGCAACGAGCGCAACCCUUAUUGUUAGUUGCCAUCAUUCAGUUGGGCACUCUAGCAAGACUGCCGGUGACAAACCGGAGGAAGGUGGGGAUGACGUCAAAUCAUCAUGCCCCUUAUGACCUGGGCUACACACGUGCUACAAUGGGAAGUACAACGAGUUGCGAAGUCGCGAGGCUAAGCUAAUCUCUUAAAGCUUCUCUCAGUUCGGAUUGCAGGCUGCAACUCGCCUGCAUGAAGCCGGAAUCGCUAGUAAUCGCGGAUCAGCACGCCGCGGUGAAUACGUUCCCGGGCCUUGUACACACCGCCCGUCACACCACGAGAGUUUGUAACACCCGAAGUCGGUGAGGUAACCUUUUGGAGCCAGCCGCCUAAGGUGGGAUAGAUGAUUGGGGUGAAGUCGUAACAAGGUAGCCGUAUCGGAAGGUGCGGCUGGAUCACCUCCUUU